GACAGAGCCGUACAGGUAGGACCGCCAGAUGGUAGUUAACCUUUGGCUGUCUCCUUUGACAAGGUAAAUGUGGAUACUAAUCUGGUGCUGCUCCUUCCCUCAAUUGAAAGUAAAAUGGCGAGCUUCUCUGCUCCAAAGACAUAUGACGAGUAAAGGAGUAUCAGGUCUUAUUGGGAUGUUUUUUCAAGCAGCACAUAAUUUCAGCUGGGAGAUGGACGG
rnacentral:lncRNA from 1 species